rnacentral:rRNA from 1 species
CCCAGACAGCCAGGAUGUUGGCUUAGAAGCAGCCAUCAUUUAAAGAAAGCGUAAUAGCUCACUGGUCGAGUCGGCCUGCGCGGAAGAUGUAACGGGGCUAAACCAUGCACCGAAGCUGCGGCAGCGACACUCAGGUGUUGUUGGGUAGGGGAGCGUUCUGUAAGCCUGUGAAGGUGGCCUGUGAGGGUGGCUGGAGGUAUCAGAAGUGCGAAUGCUGACAUAAGUAACGAUAAAGCGGGUGAAAAGCCCGCUCGCCGGAAGACCAAGGGUUCCUGUCCAACGUUAAUCGGGGCAGGGUGAGUCGACCCCUAAGGC